GUGAAUCAUCAAAUCUUUGAACGCAUAUUGCACUCUCUGGUAUUCCGGAGAGGAUGCCUGUUUGCGGGGAAUUAAAAAGAAUCUUUAACCAAUUUUUUUGGUCAAAGGAUAUGAGUUCUCCGCGUUGAUAGCGGUAGCUUGACAUAAAUGUUUAAGUCUCAUUUUAGUCGAGACGCGUAAUACUAUUAUUUCGCGGAAUCUUCAUUCUGUGAUU
rnacentral:misc_RNA from 1 species